AAUGACGAUUGACUGCGGUCAUAGUCACAGCUGUUCGUAUUUUGUUUUGACGUGACGCUUUCGUGUUGUCUAGUUGGCCUGGUAUGAAGCAUUGUGAAGGCGAACCGGAGUAAGACGUGUUUUAAAAGAAAUCGUGAACUGGAUUGUGCAACCGUGGAAAGAGUGACUUUUUUUGUGAGGUGUUACAUCGCGCCGUUUUUUUGAACUGUGUCUAGGUUGCAGCAUUGAAUGAGAGGUGUGGGAUCUUAUUGAUAUUUGGUAAACUAGUUGGAUCUGGUGCGUUUAUUUUCGGAGAGACUGCUAUUGAAAUUAAUUGCAGGUUAUGAAUAACUUGUUUUGUCUGUGAUGUUACAGCGGGUUAUACCGUUUAGGAUUUAGCAGUUUUUAUAAGGAUAUCCAGAAAAUCCAUUCCAUCCUUGUGAACACUAGGAAGACUAUGGCAACUAAUUGGGAUAGGAACUUUGUAGCAAAAGGU